AUUGAACGCUGGCGGCAGGCCUAACACAUGCAAGUCGAGCGGCAGCACGGGUACUUGUACCUGGUGGCGAGCGGCGGACGGGUGAGUAAUGCCUAGGAAUCUGCCUAGUAGUGGGGGAUAACGUCCGGAAACGGGCGCUAAUACCGCAUACGUCCUACGGGAGAAAGUGGGGGAUCUUCGGACCUCACGCUAUUAGAUGAGCCUAGGUCGGAUUAGCUAGUUGGUGAGGUAAUGGCUCACCAAGGCGACGAUCCGUAACUGGUCUGAGAGGAUGAUCAGUCACACUGGAACUGAGACACGGUCCAGACUCCUACGGGAGGCAGCAGUGGGGAAUAUUGGACAAUGGGCGAAAGCCUGAUCCAGCCAUGCCGCGUGUGUGAAGAAGGUCUUCGGAUUGUAAAGCACUUUAAGUUGGGAGGAAGGGUACUUACCUAAUACGUGAGUAUUUUGACGUUACCGACAGAAUAAGCACCGGCUAACUCUGUGCCAGCCGCCGCAGUAAAAC
rnacentral:rRNA from 1 species